GACGAACCGUGCGAACGUUGUUCGGAUUCACUGGGCUUAAAGGGCGCGUAGGCGGUCUGUUAAGUCUGGGGUGAAAUCCUCCGGCUCAACCGGAGAAUAGCCUCGGAAACUAGCAGGCUCGAGGGAGGUAGGGGCAGCGGGAACUACCAGUGGACCGGUGAAAUGGGUUGAUAUUGGUAGGAACGCCCGUGGCGAAAGCGCGCUGCGGGGCCUCCUCUGACGCUGAGGCGCGAAAGCUAGGGGAGCAAACGGG
rnacentral:rRNA from 1 species